rnacentral:misc_RNA from 1 species
GAUGAAGAACGCAACGAAAUGCGAUAAGUAAUGUGAAUUGCAGAAUUCAGUGAAUCAUCGAAUCUUUGAACGCACAUUGCGCCCGCCAGUAUUCUGGCGGGCAUGCCUGUUCGAGCGUCAUUUCAACCAUCAAGCCCCCGGGCUUGUGUUGGGGACCUGCGGCUGCCGCAGGCCCUGAAAAGCAGUGGCGGGCUCGCUGUCACACCGAGCGUAGUAGCAUACAUCUCGCUCUGGGCGUGCUGCGGGUUCCGGCCGUUAAACCACCUUUUAACCCAAGGUUGACCUCGGAUCAGGUAGGAAGACCCGCUGAACUUAAGCAUAUCAAUAAGCGGAGGA